rnacentral:lncRNA from 1 species
AAAGAUGGCUAAGUCCCAGGAAACCCGACUUUCGUUCACGUGACGAAUAUAGUGGCAGAGGGCAAAAAGAGAAGUUCGGCAUGGCGAGAGUGGCCAGAAUUCGUUGCACGCGCACGUAGUAUGUGCGCUGCCGAAUUCCCGGGAAACCCGACUUUCGUUCACGUGACGAAUAUAGUGUCCGGGGUCAAAAACAGCAGUUCGGCAAGGCGUGAGUGCCCAGAAUUCGUGGCGCGCGCAUGUGGUCUGUGCGCUGCCAAAUUCUCGGGAAACCCGACUUUCGUUCACGUGACGAAUAUAGUGGCAGAGGGCAAAACCAGCCGUUCGGCACGGCGUGAGUGUCCAGAAUUCGUGGCGCGCGCAGGUGGUCUGUGCGCUGCCGAAUUCCCGGGAAACCCGACUUUCGUUCACGUGACGAAUAUAGUGGCAGAGGGCAAAAAGAGAAGUUCGGCAUGGCGAGAGUGCCCAGAAUUCGUUGCACGCGCACGUGGUCUGUGCGCUGCCGAAAUCCCGGGAAACCCGACUUUCGUUCACGUGACGAAUAUAGUGUCUGGGGGUCAAAAACAGCAGUUCGGCAAGGCGUGAGUGCCCAGAAUUCGUGGCGCGCGCACGUGGUCUGUGCGCUGCCGAAUUCCCGAGAAACCCGACUUUCGUUCACGCGACGAAUAUAGUGGCAGGGGGCAAAAACAGCCGUUCGGCAAGGCGUGAGUGCCCAGAAUUCGUGGCGCGCGCACGAGGUGUGUGCGCUGCCGAGUUCCCGGGAAAGCCGACUUUCGUUCACGUGACGAAUAUAGUGGCAGAGGGCAAAAACAGCCGUUCGGCAAGGCGUGAGUGCCCAGAAUUCGUGGCGCGCGCACGUGGUCUGUGCGCUGCCGAAUUCCCGAGAAACCCGACUUUCGUUCACGUGACGAAUAUAGUGGCAGGGGGCAAAAACAGCCGUUCGGCAAGGCGUGAGUGCCCAGAAUUCGUGGCGCGCGCACGAGGUGUGUGCGCUGCCGAGUUCCCGGGAAAGCCGACUUUCGUUCACGUGACGAAUAUAGUGGCAGAGGGCA